GAUGAACGCUGGCGGCGUGCUUAACACAUGCAAGUCGAACGAAGCACCUUGAUUCGAUUCUUCGGAUGAAGAUCUUGGUGCCUGAGUGGCGGACGGGUGAGUAACGCGUGGGUAACCUGCCUCAUACAGGGGGAUAACAGUUAGAAAUGACUGCUAAUACCGCAUAAGACCACAGCACCGCAUGGUGCAGGGGUAAAAACUCCGGUGGUAUGAGAUGGACCCGCGUCUGAUUAGGUAGUUGGUGGGGUAACGGCCUACCAAGCCGACGAUCAGUAGCCGACCUGAGAGGGUGACCGGCCACAUUGGGACUGAGACACGGCCCAAACUCCUACGGGAGGCAGCGGUGGGGAAUAUUGCACAAUGGGGGAAACCCUGAUGCAGCGACGCCGCGUGAGCGAUGAAGUAUUUCGGUAUGUAAAGCUCUAUCAGCAGGGAAGAAAAUGACGGUACCUGACUAAGAAGCACCGGCUAAAUACGUG
rnacentral:rRNA from 1 species